UACGGAGGGUGCAAGCGUUAUCCGGAUUCACUGGGUUUAAAGGGUGCGUAGGUGGGUUGGUAAGUCAGUGGUGAAAUCUCCAGGCUUAACUCGGAAACUGCCAUUGAUACUAUUUAUCUUGAAUACUUUGGAGGUAAGCGGAAUAUGUCAUGUAGCGGUGAAAUGCUUAGAUAUGACAUAGAAUACCAAUUGCGAAGGCAGCUUACUACACAGUCAUUGACACUGAGGCACGAAAGCGUGGGGAGCAAACAGG
rnacentral:rRNA from 1 species